rnacentral:rRNA from 1 species
AGAGUUUGAUCCUGGCUCAGGAUGAACGCUGGCGGCAUGCCUAAUACAUGCAAGUCGAACGAGAGGAAGGAAAGCUUGCUUUUCUGAAUCUAGUGGCGAACGGGUGAGUAACACGUAGGUAACCUGCCCAUGUGCCCGGGAUAACUUCUGGAAACGGAUGCUAAAACCGGAUAGGUAGCAGACAAGCAUUUGACUGCUAUUAAAGUGGCUUUGGCCAUGAACAUGGAUGGACCUGCGGUGCAUUAGCUGGUUGGUGAGGUAACGGCCCACCAAGGCGACGAUGCAUAGCCGGCCUGAGAGGGCGGACGGCCACAUUGGGACUGAGACACGGCCCAAACUCCUACGGGAGGCAGCAGUAGGGAAUUUUCGUCAAUGGGGGGAACCCUGAACGAGCAAUGCCGCGUGAGUGAGGAAGGUCUUCGGAUCGUAAAGCUCUGUUGUAAGAGAAAAACGGCACUCGUAGGGAAUGAUGAGUGAGUGAUGGUAUCUUACCAGAAAGUCACGGCUAACUACGUGCCAGCAGCCGCGGUAAUACGUAGGUGGCGAGCGUUAUCCGGAAUGAUUGGGCGUAAAGGGUGCGUAGGUGGCAGAUCAAGUCUGGAGUAAAAGGUAUGGGCUCAACCCGUACUGGCUCUGGAAACUGAUCAGCUAGAGAACAGAAGAGGACGGCGGAACUCCAUGUGUAGCGGUAAAAUGCGUAGAUAUAUGGAAGAACACCGGUGGCGAAGGCGGCCGUCUGGUCUGGAUUCUGACACUGAAGCACGAAAGCGUGGGGAGCAAAUAGGAUUAGAUACCCUAGUAGUCCACGCCGUAAACGAUGAGAACUAGGUGUUGGGGGAAUAACUCAGUGCCGCAGUUAACGCAGUAAGUUCUCCGCCUGGGGAGUAUGCACGCAAGUGUGAAACUCAAAGGAAUUGACGGGGGCCCGCACAAGCGGUGGAGUAUGUGGUUUAAUUCGAAGCAACGCGAAGAACCUUACCAGGCCUUGACAUCCCUUGCAGAGGUAUAGAGAUAUAUCCGAGGUUAUCAAGGAGACAGGUGGUGCAUGGUUGUCGUCAGCUCGUGUCGUGAGAUGUUGGGUUAAGUCCCGCAACGAGCGCAACCCUUGUGAUAUGUUACUAACAUUGAGUUGAGGACUCAUAUCAGACUGCCGGUGAUAAACCGGAGGAAGGUGGGGAUGACGUCAAAUCAUCAUGCCCCUUAUGGCCUGGGCUACACACGUACUACAAUGGCGUCU